rnacentral:rRNA from 1 species
AGGGGAAUCUUGCACAAUGGGGGCAACCCUGAUGCAGCGACGCCGCGUGAGCGAUGAAGCCCUUCGGGGCGUAAAGCUCUUUCGACCGGAACGAUAAUGACGGUACCGGGAGAAGAAGCUGCGGCUAACUACGUGCCAGCAGCCGCGGUAAUACGUAGGCAGCAAGCGUUGUUCGGAGUUACUGGGCGUAAAGAGUGCGUAGGCGGUUUUCUAAGUUCGGUGUGAAAUCUCCCGGCUUAACUGGGAGGGUGCGCCGAAGACUGGGAAGCUGGAGUGUGGGAAAGGCAGGCGGAAUUCCUGGUGUAGCGGUGAAAUGCGUAGAUAUCAGGAGGAACACCGGCGGUGUAGACGGCUUGCUAGACCAUAACUGACGCUGAGGCACGAAAGCGUGGGUAGCAAACA